rnacentral:rRNA from 1 species
AUCCUUGGGAUACCACCCUUGUAGUACUGGGACUCUAACCAUAGGCCAUGAAUCUGGUCUUGGGACACUGUCAGGUGGGCAGUUUGACUGGGGCGGUCGCCUCCCAAAAGGUAACGGAGGCGCUCAACGGUUCUCUCAGUACGGUCGGAAAUCGUACGUAGAGUGUAAAGGCAAAAGAGAGCUUGAUUGCAAGACAUACAGGUCGAGCAAGGAUGAAAAUCGGACUUAGUGAUCCGGUGGUUCUGCGUGGAAGGGCCAUCGCUCAACGGAUAAAAGCUACCCUGGGGAUAACAGGCUUAGCUCCCCCAAGAGUCCACAUCGACGGGGAGGUUUGGCACCUCGAUGUCGGCUCAUCACAUCCUGGGGCUG